rnacentral:lncRNA from 10 species
UCUCACGAUUAUAAUUGGAAGCUUUUCUUUUAGUUGGUAGAUAAAUAUAGUUAUGUAUUUGCAACUGUUGAUGUCUUUGGCUUAAUGAAAUAUAACAAUUUAGCACUACCUGCUUCUUUCUGCAUCAUCACCUUUUUUGCCUACUUUAUUUUUUCUUCAUGUCACCCAGAUGUAUGAGCAGUAACAGAUUAUGCCACUCCAAAAUAUACCUCUUGGGCAUAUCAAUUAUUUUGAGCUAAAGGUCAUUGAGAACCAGCAGACUCAAGAAAACCUCUAAAACAGGGCCCAAGUUUUCCCUUUGUAAAUAAAAGUUACAUUUAUUUUUUAAAAUCCCAUUCGUAGGGAUGUCGCCCUCUUCUUUACCAGGGAAGGAAGGAGUCUUAGCUUUUAUUGGUGGAGAAAUUUAAAUUUGCACAAUAAAACUUAUUUAAAAACUCUUGUUCACCAGACUUUUUUUUUCAACUUUUAUUUUAGGUUUGGGGAUACAUGUGCAGGUUUGUUACAUGGGUAUAUUUCAUGUGGCUGAGGUUUGAUGAAUGAAUAAUCCCAUCACCCAGGUAAUGAGCAUAUAACCCCACAGGGAGUUUUUCAGUUCUCACCCCCUCCUGCCCCACCCCCUCUGUAGUCCCCUGUGUCCAUUGUCCCCAUCUUUAUGUCCAGUAAACUCAAUGCUCCACACUUGUCUUGAUCACCUUCCUAUAAUUUGGCUACCCAUCUAGAAGUCCCAAUCUCCUUUUGGUUGGUUAUAGCCUAAGAUAAUAUGUACAUACAGGUUCUAACCACUGCUUUGAGUUACACAUCUCUGAGCACUCCCAUUUGUAAGUACAAUGCUCAAGUUAAUAAAACUCUGCUUGUUUUUCUCUUAUGAAUAUGUCUUUGGUCAAUUUUAUUUGCAGGGCCCCAGCUGGAGAAUGUAUGAUGGAUAGAAGAAGAGAUUAUUUCUCCUUCUUUACAGGGAAACAGACUCAGAAAAUUAUGUGACUGGCUCAUUACACCGUAAUUACAUUUGGGAGGACUGAACUCCAGUGUUUCUGACUCCUAAGUCACAUUCCAGCUCUUUCCUCUACACUAGAUUUCUUGAAAAGGACAAGUUAAAGAUCAAGAAAUGAAUACCUCACCUAAUUCAUAAUGACUUUAAACAGUACAUUUAUAAUCUAUACCUUGCUUAUUGUGACAAAGGCCGCUGUGAAACUGUACUAGCAUAUUGUCUCAAAUAUCUUUUACAAAUACAGAUUGAGUAUGUCUUAUUCAAAAUGCUUGGGACUAGAAGUGUUUCAGAUUUUGGAUUUUGUCCGAUUUUUGAAUAUUUGUAUUAUGUUGGCU